AACGCGAAGAACCUUACCUGGGCUUGACAUGCAUGUGACCGCGGCAGAAAUGUCGUUUUUCCGCAAGGAACACUUGCACAGGUGCUGCAUGGCUGUCGUCAGCUCGUGCCGUGAGGUGUUGGGUUAAGUCCCGCAACGAGCGCAACCCUUGUCGUUAGUUGCCAGCACGUAAUGGUGGGCACUCUAACGAGACUGCCUGGGUUAACCAGGAGGAAGGUGAGGAUGACGUCAAGUCCGCAUGGCCUUUAUGCCCAGGGCCACACACGUGCUACAAUGGCCGGUACAGAGGGCAGCAAUACCGCGAGGUGGAGCAAAUCCCAAAAGCCGGCCCCAGUUCAGAUAGGAGUCUGCAACUCGACUCCUUGAAGCCGGAAUUGCUAGUAAUGGCGAGUCAGCUACAUCGCCGUGAAUACGUUCNCCGGGUCUUGUACACACCG
rnacentral:rRNA from 1 species